UACGGGAGGCAGCAGUGGGGAAUCUUGGACAAUGGGGGCAACCCUGAUCCAGCCAUGCCGCGUGAGUGAUGAAGGCCCUAGGGUCGUAAAGCUCUUUCGCCUGUGAAGAUAAUGACGGUAGCAGGUAAAGAAACCCCGGCUAACUCCGUGCCAGCAGCCGCGGUAAU
rnacentral:rRNA from 1 species